AGAGUUUGAUCAUGGCUCAGAACGUACGCUGGCGGCACGCCUAACACAUGCAAGUCGAACGCAGUAGCAAUACUGAGUGGCAAACGGGUGAGUAUAAUGUGGGAAUCUGCCUUUUGGUUUGGAAUAACACGGGGAAACCUGUGCUAAUACCGGAUAAGCCCUUACGGGGAAAGUUUUAACGCCGAAAGAUGAGCCUGCACUUGAUUAGCUAGUUGGUAAGGUAAAAGCUUACCAAGGCAACGAUCAAUAGCUGUUCUUAGAGGAAGACCAGCCACAUUGGGACUGAGACACGGCCCAGACUCCUACGGGAGGCAGCAGUGGGGAAUCUUGCACAAUGGGGGAAACCCUGAUGCAGCGAUGCCGCGUGAGUGAAGAAGGCCCUUGGGUUGUAAAACUCUUUCGUCGGGGAAGAAAAUGACUGUACCCGAAUAAGAAGGUCCGGCUAACUUCGUGCCAGCAGCCGCGGUAAUAC
rnacentral:rRNA from 1 species